rnacentral:siRNA from 1 species
GGACGCAUGUGUGAGAUUAAGCUC